rnacentral:rRNA from 1 species
AUUGAACGCUGGCGGCAUGCCUUACACAUGCAAGUCGAACGGCAGCGGGGGAGAAGCUUGCUUUUCCUGCCGGCGAGUGGCGAACGGGUGAGUAAUACAUCGGAACGUGCCCUGUAGUGGGGGAUAACUAGUCGAAAGAUUAGCUAGUACCGCAUACGACCUGAGGGUGAAAGGGGGGGACCGCAGGGCCUCAUGCUAUGGGAGCGGCCGAUGUCUGAUUAGCUAGUUGGUGGGGUAAAGGCCUACCAAGGCGACGAUCAGUAGCUGGUCUGAGAGGACGAUCAGCCACACUGGGACUGAGACACGGCCCAGACUCCUACGGGAGGCAGCAGUGGGGAAUUUUGGACAAUGGGCGAAAGACUGAUCCAGCAAUGCCGCGUGUGUGAAGAAGGCCUUCGGGUUGUAAAGCACUUUUGUCCGGAAGGAAAUGGCUCUGGUUAAUACCUGGGGUCGAUGACGGUACCGGAAGAAUAAGGACCGGCUAACUACGUGCCAGCCGCCGCAGUAA